rnacentral:rRNA from 1 species
UACGUAGGGGGCAAGCGUUGUCCGGAUUUAUUGGGCGUAAAGAGCUCGUAGGCGGCCGUCCACGUCGGAUGUGAAAGCUCAGGGCUCAACUCUGAGAGGCCAUUCGAUACGGGACGGCUAGAGGUAGGUAGGGGAAAGUGGAAUUCCUGGUGUAGCGGUGAAAUGCGCAGAUAUCAGGAGGAACACCGGUGGCGAAGGCGGCUUUCUGGGCCUUACCUGACGCUGAGGAGCGAAAGCUGGGGGAGCGAACAGG